GAUUUUGAGUUUUUGUGAAAGAGAUAUAGGUGUUCAAAGUUGAGGUGUCAAAUUUGUACCUAUUGUCACUCUUUGAAGCAUAACAUAUGCGUACAAAGAGCAAUGAAAGAUCGGUUAUUAGAGUUGGAGAGAACACUUUUUUUGCUACACUUUACAUAUAUUAUUUGAUGAAUUCUAAGUCUAGAUGAAGGAGUUAUAGGGCAUUGAAGACAGCACAUGUAAAUCAAAGGUAGUAAGUGAAUCAUUUUGUUGAUAGUAAUGGUUGGAGCCAUGUCUUGAGUUUCUGGACGAAUUUUGGCUCAAAUUUUCCAUAUAUGUGAGUUACUAGGUUAAGAAGCUAUAGAACAAAGUUUAAUGGUAUUUGAGUACUUAUUUUGUGAGAUAUGA
rnacentral:lncRNA from 1 species